AAAUGUGAUGUAAACUGCAGGCAGCAUGUUAUAGAGCAGGAGGAGCUGAGCAGAAUGAUAUAGUUUUAUGGAAAAAGAUUCAGUAAAACCUGUAUUUCAUUCACUUAAAUUUCUGCUCAUUCUUGGCUUUGAAGUCCAGGAGGCGGUCCCAUCAGU